rnacentral:rRNA from 1 species
UGCUUUUGAUGGGCGUCGACCGGCGCACGGGUGAGUAACGCGCAUCCAACCUGCCCACCACUUGGGGAUAACCUUGCGAAAGUAAGACUAAUACCCAAUGACGUCUCUAGAAGACAUCUGAAAGAGAUUAAAGAUUUAUCGGUGAUGGAUGGGGAUGCGUCUGAUUAGCUUGUUGGCGGGGUAACGGCCCACCAAGGCGACGAUCAGUAGGGGUUCUGAGAGGAAGGUCCCCCACAUUGGAACUGAGACACGGUCCAAACUCCUACGGGAGGCAGCAGUGAGGAAUAUUGGUCAAUGGACGAGAGUCUGAACCAGCCAAGUAGCGUGCAGGAAGACGGCCCUAUGGGUUGUAAACUGCUUUUAUAAGGGAAUAAAGUGAGAGUCGUGACUCUUUUUGCAUGUACCUUAUGAAUAAGGACCGGCUAAUUCCGUGCCGGCAGCCGCGGUAAUACGGAAGGUCCGGGCGUUAUCCGGAUUUAUUGGGUUUAAAGGGAGCGUAGGCCGGAGAUUAAGCGUGUUGUGAAAUGUAGAUGCUCAACAUCUGCACUGCAGCGCGAACUGGUUUCCUUGAGUACGCACAAAGUGGGCGGAAUUCGUGGUGUAGCGGUGAAAUGCUUAGAUAUCACGAAGAACUCCGAUUGCGAAGGCAGCUCACUGGAGCGCAACUGACGCUGAAGCUCGAAAGUGCGGGUAUCGAACAGGAUUAGAUACCCUGGUAGUCCGCACGGUAAACGAUGGAUGCCCGCUGUUGGUCUGAAUAGGUCAGCGGCCAAGCGAAAGCAUUAAGCAUCCCACCUGGGGAGUACGCCGGCAACGGUGAAACUCAAAGGAAUUGACGGGGGCCCGCACAAGCGGAGGAACAUGUGG